AUUGAACGCUGGCGGCAGGCCUAACACAUGCAAGUCGAGCGAGCGGCGGACGGGUGAGUAAUGUCUGGGAAACUGCCUGAUGGAGGGGGAUAACUACUGGAAACGGUAGCUAAUACCGCAUACCAUCAGAUGUUCCCAGAUGGGAUUAGCUAGUAGGUGGGGUAACGGCUCACCUAGGCGACGAUCCCUAGCUGGUCUGAGAGGAUGACCAGCCACUCUGAAACAGAGACACGAUCCAGGCUCCUGCGGGAGGCAGCAGUAGGGAAUAUUGCAGAAUGAGCGCGAGCCUGAUGCAGCCAUGCCGCGUGUGUGAAGAAGGCCUUCGGGUGGUAGAGAACUUUCAGCGGGGAGGCGUUACCCGCAGAAGAAGCACCGGCUAACUCCGUGCCAGCAGCCGCGAUAAUAC
rnacentral:rRNA from 1 species